UGGAGAGCUGUCAGUUCCGGAACCACAAGUCUAACAGGUUUAUUAGGAUCACACUGGUGACUGAGUUAAGACCAGGCUGUAUGGGGCAAAUACAAAGGAAGAGCCUCCAAGAAGUAAUCUGGGUGAGAGAAGACUGAGAGUUGCAGCAGGCUGGUCACAGGGCAGAUGAUGAGAAAUUGCUGGAUCCAGGAUGUAUUUGGGAGGCUCUGUGUUAGUGGAUUCACAAGCAACCUGUACUCCUCAAAGAAAGAUGAUAAGAUGAAGGAGAUCUCUAGAACCAGCAACUGGGGCUCUUCCUUCAGUGAAAAAAGUGGGUGUAUGCAGACUCAUCCAUCCAUGAAUCUAGAUUGCAGGGAUGUGACCUAUGUAAUGAACUUGCUACUUAUUGCUCAUCAUCAUCUUCUUCAAUGACAAAAAAGAAAAUAGUAACAAUGAAUACGUCUCUUGGGCAAAAUAAAUAAUGAGAUUGUUACAGGCUGGAGUGCAAUUGCAUGAUCUAGGCUCUCUGCAACCUCUGUCUCCUGAAUUCAAGCGAUUCUCCUGUUUCAGCCUCCCAAGUAGCUGGGAUUACAAGCGCCGGCCACUAUGCCAGGCUAAUUUUUGUAUUUUUAGUAGAGACGGGGUUUCACCAUGUUGGCCAGGCUAGGCUCAAACUCCUGACCUCAGGUGACCUCCCACCUUGGCCUCCCAAAGUGCUGGGAUUAUGCACAUGAGCCACCAUACCCAGCCCAGAAUUCACACUUUCAACAGCAAAAUGGACUUUGCAAGAUAUUAUACAUAGAUAGGGGCCAAAGAUAGUAAUAAUCUGAAUUUUUUGCAUUAAUUCCAUUAUUGCCAUUUUAUAUUUCACAGACAUUAAUAACAUUUUGUAUAGCAGAAAAACCAGCAUGUUUUUAUGUACUAGUCCAGCAAAUAAAUACUGUCAUUUACAUAAUGAUAUCAUACUAUUACUUCAAUAAACAGAUGACUGAAAAUUGUACUCUAUUUCCAUAUCUAGAAUACAUUAGGAAAGGGCAAGUAUUUAAGUAAGGAUAAGAAAUUCCAAUUCCUUAUCCUAUUGGACUUAGUAUAUUGCACUUUGGAAAGAAGGCAUAUUUUAAAGAUAGAAAUGUAAAGGAUGAAAUGCAGCAGAGUACUGUCAAAGUCUCUCUUUUAUUAAUUUAUUCAACAUUUUUUACAAAUAUUUGUUGAGGUGCCCUUCCAUAUACAAAACAUUGUGAUGGGUGCUCUUUUCAUAAAUGAUAGUAGAAAUUAAUUUAAGGAAACAUUGUCUAGUUAAAACCAAACAUUGAUGCUUCAGAAAACUGAGGUUCAGGGAUACGAAAAAAACUUGCCAAGUCACACAAAGAGUUAAUAGAACAACAAACUUGAACAGUAAUAAUAUUAAUUUGGAUACUUUAAUGACAAUGCAGCUAUAAUCAAUUUAUGUAAAAAAAUGAAAUCAGAUCUCAAUACUUUGCUUUUACUCUUCCCCAAUAAAUGUAUUGACCCUUUUAUUAUUGCCCAGUAAACGGUUUAUUUUGGUGAACAGUCCAUGUAUACAUGAAAAUAAUGUGUUUCCCGCUGAGUGGAGUGUUCCAUAAAUUCCAAUUAGAAC
rnacentral:lncRNA from 1 species